AGUGCGAAUUGCAGACGCAUUGAGCACUAAGAUUUUGAACGCACAUUGCGGCGCUAGGUAUUCCUAGCGCCACGUUUGGUUGAAGGUCGGUUCUUUGAUACGUUGAUCAGCUAACGUCAGAGCUGGUCAGAUGUGGUCGCUUGGUCUGUUUGUGUAGAGUGUAGACGUACAAUUGUACGAGUAGGGAGGGUGACUCUGUCGGCUUAGUCUCCGUCGUGUCGUAGUAUAUGCUAUCUACGACGUGACUUUGAAAGCAGACGUUGUAAUGUCGACAGGUCUCGUACUCCCCCCGCUACCUUGUCUAGCGAGUGUGAUGGAUGCUCGACCACCCACUCCCGGUGACUAUGCAACUCACGUUUGUUAGUUUGUUAGCGAUCGUCAAUAUCUCGCAGUCUUUGUUGUUACUCGUGAAGUCUUUGCUCACGCUCACAUUUUGUGGGCGAUUUAUUACCCGUUUGUCAAACAACGGUGCUUAAUGAAACGUUUCUUAAACUGAUUCAAGCGUAGUCUGUAGCCGCCGCUCAUUUGUUAGAAACAGAGUGUGAGCUGGGAGUGAUGCAAUGCAUACAACGGCACGUCACGUGCUUAAUUUCUUUUUCUACUUCAUCUCAUGCGUGACUACCCCCUAAAUUUAAGCAU
rnacentral:rRNA from 1 species